rnacentral:rRNA from 1 species
GACGAACGCUGGCGGCGUGCUUAACACAUGCAAGUCGAACGGAAAGGCCCUGCUUUUGUGGGGUGCUCGAGUGGCGAACGGGUGAGUAACACGUGAGUAACCUGCCCUUGACUUUGGGAUAACUUCAGGAAACUGGGGCUAAUACCGGAUAGGAGCUCCUGCUGCAUGGUGGGGGUUGGAAAGUUUCGGCGGUUGGGGAUGGACUCGCGGCUUAUCAGCUUGUUGGUGGGGUAGUGGCUUACCAAGGCUUUGACGGGUAGCCGGCCUGAGAGGGUGACCGGGCACAUGGGGACUGAGAUACGGCCCAGACUCCUACGGGAGGCAGCAGUGGGGAAUAUUGCACAAUGGGCGGAAGCCUGAUGCAGCAACGCCGCGUGCGGGAUGACGGCCUGCGGGUUGUAAACCGCUUUCGCCUGUGACGAAGCGUGAGUGACGGUAAUGGGUAAAGAAGCACCGGCUAACUACGUG